rnacentral:lncRNA from 1 species
CUAAGUGUGAUGAUUUGGAGAAGAGUGUCCACAAAGCCGGUGGUAGACCUGUACGUAAACCUGCAAAGAGUGCCAUUUUACGGUCUCCAUAUAUAAUAGCUUUCGGAUCGGCUGGUUCAUCAUCUACUGUAGUGGGUGCUGCUAGUCAAACACUUGCACGUUUAAGUGCAUUCCCCAAAUCAUGCAUGGAGAUGCCCUUAAAUUUUGAAGAGGCAUUGUUUGAAGAAUGGUUCAAAAUUGGAAUAAACAACAAAAAAAG